AUGGAUCUGGCCAUGGGGGCCAUGGGCUCCCUCCUCGACAAACUGGGCGAGGUUAUCAAGGAGGAGUACAACCUACAGAAGGGAGUCAAGAAAAAGGUCAAGUCCUUCUCUGCCGAACUGGAUAUUAUGCGUGCUGCCCUUUGCAAGGUGGCAGAGGUGCCGCGAGAUCAGCUUGACGAUCAGAUCAAGUUUUGGGCAAAUGAUGUUAGGGAGCUGUCUUACGACAUGGAGGACGUCGUUGACUCUCUCCUGGUGCGUGUUGAAGGCUGCGAGCCCGAUGCUAAUCAUGCCAGCUUCAAGAAGCUCAUGGCCAAGAUGGUAAACAUGUUUAAAAAGGGCAAGGCUCGCCGUGAGAUUUCCACAGCAGUUGAAGAGAUCCACAAGCAGUUGCAAGAUGUCACCACCCGACAUAAAAUGUUUGAUUUUGCUAACCUACCUGCAGCAAAAAGGACCACCGCUGACCCUUUCUGGGAGGUUUUCUAUGGAGAUAAGAAGAAUAUCAUCGGCCUAGAUAAAGCAAGGGACAAUAUUAUCAAGAAGAUCAGUGACGGCAACCAUGUGUCCAAGGCGCAUCUCAAGAUACUCUCGGUUGUUGGAUUUGGAGGAUUGGGCAAGACUACACUUGCGAGAGAAGUAUAUGAUGCCCUUCCAACAAAAUUUGAUUACAAAGCUUUUGUGUCUGUGUCUCGGAAUCCCGACAUGAAGAAAGUAUUAAGCAAUCUUCUCUUUAAACUUGACAAGGGAAAAAAUACUAGUCUUCAUGUAAAUGCAGCAAACUUGGAUGUAGAGCAGCUCUUCGUGCUAGUCCGAGAAUUGCUUCACGAUAAAAGUUCAUUAGAUAAGCUCUCUCGUUACCAUGUGCAUAGGUACUUUAUCAUUAUCGAUGAUCUAUGGGAUAAAGAAGCAUGGAAAACAAUCAGAUAUGCACUUCAGGACGAUAGGUGUGGAAGUAUAAUAAUUACUACAACCCGCCAUGUCGAGAUCUCUGAAGAAUGUUCCUCUUCUAAAGAGGAUAUGAUUCAUCAGAUGAAACAUCUCUCUUAUGAUGACGCCAAGAAACUUUUCUAUGGAAGAAUAUUUUCAAGUGAGGUGUGUCGUUCUGGAUUCGAGGAUGUAUCUACAAAGAUCUUGAAGAAAUGUGCCGGGGUACCAUUAGCCAUCAUCAGUCUGGCUAGUUAUUUGGCUAAUGAUCAAAGGGUUUACCAAAUUGAGCAAUGUAUCUUUCCAGAAGACCAUAAAAUUAGCAGAGAUCGGUUGAUAAGAAGAUGGAUUUCUGAAGGCUUUAUCCAAGUAAAAGAUGAAACUGAUAGCCUGCUUGGGCUUGGAGAUAGCUACUUCAACGAGCUAGUAAACAGAAACAUGAUCAUGCCGAUAAACAUACAUACUGAUGGUAGGGUUGAAGCUUGUUGCGUACAUGAUAUCAUGCUCGAUCUUAUAUUUGAAUUAGCAAGUGGAGAAAACUUUGUUACUAUACUGGAUGUUAUUGAGGGAGGCACACCUUUGGAAAAGAAGUUCCGCAGAUUGUCCCUCCAGAAGAGCAUGACAGAUCUCACCAAUGCUCAGAUAGCUACCACAAGCAUGUCACAAGUGAGGUCUUUUACGGCUUUUAGUCCUGCUGUUAGUAUGCCACUACCAAACGGGUUCAGCAACCUGACAUGCCUUGAACAGCUGACAGGACAUGGAGAGGGCAUUUUUACUGCAGACAGCGCAAAAGAGCUGGGCUCUUUGUUUGAGUCCCUAAGCAACAUGCAAAAAUUCGGGAGUGUAGAGAUCUCCGAUGUUGAUUCUUGGGUUUUUCAACUUAUGCUGAAGCUGGAUUGGGUGCCGCCUCCAAACCUCCGCAGGCUUAAAUUAGUAGGAGUUUUCUGGAACUUGCCUACAUGGAUUUGUUCUUCGUUGCUUCCCCUACUUUCCCACCUUGAUCUAACAACUAACAGGAAUGUGCAAUCCGGAGAUAUUCAGAUCCUUGGAAUGCUGCCGGCUCUCCAGUAUGUCACCUUGAGGGUAGGAGGCCUCAAUGUACACGAUUUAUUGGAAAAUUUGGUGAUUAGCGCCGGUGCCUUCCCCAGCUUGAGAGUGUGCCUUUUCCACAAUAUUUUAUUGAUGCCCCCUACAUUCCAACCAGGAGCUAUGCCAAUGGUUCAACGCCUUUGGUUCGGUCUCAGAGUGAAUGACAUCCUCAGUCCUGACUUCGAUUUGAGCAUAAGGAACCUUCCUUCGCUCAAGCAACUCAGAAUUGACCUUUUCAAUAAUGGAGCCGGACCUGGGGAUUAUUCUCAAGCCGUGGACAUGCUGAGGUAUUUGGCAGAUGUCCAUCCCAAAAAUCCCACCCUUCGUGCUGAUAAAUUCAUCCGGGAGAGGCUGAGUCGAGUCGAGCCGAGCGAUGAACAAAAUCCUGUGUCCUCAAGCUAG
rnacentral:rRNA from 1 species